rnacentral:rRNA from 1 species
UACGUAGGGGGCAAGCGUUGUCCGGAUUUAUUGGGCGUAAAGAGCGUGUAGGCGGCUAGGUAGGUCCGUUGUGAAAACUCGAGGCUUAACCUCGAGCUGUCGGCGGAAACCAUUUGGCUAGAGUCCGGAAGAGGAGAAUGGAAUUCCCGGUGUAGCGGUGAAAUGCGCAGAUAUCGGGAAGAACACCCGUGGCGAAGGCGGUUCUCUGGGACGGUACUGACGCUGAGACGCGAAAGCGUGGGGAGCGAACAGG